AGAGGUGAACCCCGGGAACAAGAACUUUCGCAGACAAUAACAACAGCAGCAGCAGCGCACCAACCAUGCCCAUUGUACAAGGGGUACAGAUAAAAGACAAUCGCCCUUUCAAUCUGAUUGUCUAAGGAGAAAUAGAAGAGGAUCAUUCUUGUCAAGACAGCAGCAGGAAAAUUCCAAAUGCAGUUCAGCAAUCAUUUGGAAUCUGAAGUUCUGAUGAAGAAUCUUGAUCUGCAAGGUUGGUUCUCUCUCCCUCUCCACAGAAUGCUGCCUGAUUUGUAAAUGAAAUCAGCUCCAGCAGACAGGGCGAUUGAGAUCUACUGUGAGGUCCAACAACCAGGAAUGUGGUUCUGUAUCACUCCAUGGAGAGUGGAAGGGCAUGAUGAGGCAUAGGAGAAGUCAUGGAGUCAUGGUCAUCCACUGUAACCAAGGCAGACCCCCAGCUAUGAUGGCUACAUGUACCACUGGACCCGGACUUUCGAGGUCGUGAGAGUGGAACUGCUCCAGUGCAACAGCUUUUCUGCUUAAACACACUCCUGCACAGGUUUCCCUGACAUUGUCGGAUAUGAUGUUCAACCACCAUAAGUGAACAAAAUCGACGCAGACACCUCGUGUAGAUAAUGAACUGCCUUCAUACAACACUUUCAAUAACUGCAUCCUCCAAAUCUUCAUUUUCCUUAAAACAUUCAAGAUGAUAGUCACAACCUUCAAAUUCUCCAUAGUUCCUAACUAGUUGAAGUAGUUAAAUCAUUUCAUUUUCACUCUCAGCAUUUUUGGCAUCUCCAAGCCUGACUGCUUGAUCCCCGGAACUGAAGCUGGUAGGACAAACCUAACCAGAUGAAAGGAAGCAGAAGUUGGCACAAGCUGAGUCCACCUUAGUGAAAUCAUCUGAGAUUACCCAGAUUUAAUUCAAUAUGAAGAGAAUAAUGCAUUUUAUGGUGAUGGAAUUGACCAGGACUGGGGUCAUGAAAGGUUGUGCUUCUGAAACAUUACUGCCGAUGAACUUGUCAACAACAACGUCAUUAAAUGAAGACUAUUCGGUGAUCAAGAGAAACUUUUCUCAACGGUAAAUACGGGUACAUGUGGAAGAAAUGGAAGACUCAAAUUUGUAUUAUGCUGGGGUAGAUGGUUUGAUGUGUGUGGAUAAAACAUUAAGUAUUCCAUAGGGUACUGGGUAUUGUGAGGAUGAUAAAGGGAAGUUUUAUGUGGGUGAUAUCAGCUAUGAAUUAUACCAAAGGAUGGAAAGAGUGUCCUCUGGAAAGUCACAAUGUUGCACUUGAGGAGGUGACUUUAAAUUUGACUAUUGGAGGACAAACUUUGCCUCAACCAGCAGUGGAGAAGGUAGUGGAGGAAAGUCUUUCAAUCCAACGAACUGAUACGAAUCGAUAUUUGUGGGACUAUGUUGUAACUGAGUUGCCACAGAUUCCUCAUUUGACUGCAGACUGGACACGAGUGGUGGAGGAGGCAAAGGAAAUAAUUCAUCAGUGGGUUGAACUUUCAAAAGUUAUUAAGACACAUGCUGAGAAGGCAAGUGAAAUGUUGAGUGACUUAGACUUUUGGGGCAAAUUUUGGAAUUGGGGAUCAAAUGUUCAAAUACAUCCAUGGGUGAGAAUAAUCUCACAUGUUGCAGUAAUAUUAAUUUUUGUACGCUGAUGAUUGCAUAUUUUAAUGUGUAUCAACUCAGAAGAUGGAAGGCUGAAAUUAUGCAAAAGGUAGAGGGGAAUGAUCUUGCACUACUGAAAAAAUGAUGGCCAGUAUAAAAAUUGUAUGAAUUUAGUAAGUAAAAGUUAUAAUGUAAGAGCAGCACAACUGCUGGGGAUCCAUGGCAAUCCAGUGGAUGGUCAAUAGAAUAGAGGAGGAUAGUGAUCCUAAGAUAAAUCUUUGGAUCAAGAGGAGGGAUAUGUUGGCCAGAAAGAAUGACAAUCUUCAAAUCAGUGAAUUCAAAUGAAUCAAGGACAGUGGAAGCAGUCUUUGUUCUUGUCAUUUGUUUGAGGGAUGGAGGCUGCCAUUUUGUGAAGACACUGUGGUGAACUAUGUGCCUGUCUGGACACGCCCCCUGCUGACUGCUCCUGUGGCUCCUCCCACAGGCCCCUGUAUAAAGGCGAUCUGAGGCCUGAUGCUCGGCCUCAGUCUCCAGGACAUGGUAUGAUGGACACUCACUCCUGGUUCCUUCUUCCAGUCAAUAAAAGCCGAUAUCUCGCCUUUCGUCUCAGUGUGAGUUAUUGAUGGUGCAUCAGACACUCGAUUCUCCAUUUUGCGAGCUUGACAUGCUGGACUUGAUUAGUGUUUUAAAGAAGAUACAAAGACUUCAGGUAAUUUGCUGGACUGGAGGUCAUUUCCAAAUAAGGAGUUGUUUGUGAGGUGUUCUUUGGUCGGCUAUAACAUGCAGGAUUGUGAAUGCCUGAGGCAAUUCAAGCUCAUUGCUGACUGAGAACAAAGAGCCAUGAGUCAGCAACUGUCCCUUGAUGGGGAGAGGACAAUAGAUGGAUGCUGCUUUGGACCAGAGCCAAUGACUAGGUGUUAAAGGCCGGACACAUGACCUGUGGCCAAUGAAGCGGGAAUGCGACAUUUGAAUUGAUAAGCAAUGGAUAUAAAAGUGGAUGCUUUGUGGGUGCUGGUGGCGGUAACUUUGAAGAAUAACCAUCGCAGACACAAGCGAGAAGAACCCUGCAUGAACAUGUGGAGAGUGAGUCGGGACCAUGAGGAACAAGGAGCGCCUGGCCAGCGUAAAUUCCUCUGCCCGGGUAAUACCUUUGCUAUUCUUUGACUAUCCAGGAGAGUCAGGGGUAUUUAGCAGGUGUGUGCACAAGGUAUUUAAUGUAUGAAUUCAUGUAUUUGUUAGUUUGAACAAUAAAG